GAGUAAUGUCUGGGAAACUGCCUGAUGGAGGGGGAUAACUACUGGAAACGGUGGCUAAUACCGCAUAACGUCGCAAGACCAAAGAGGGGGACCUUCGGGCCUCUUGCCAUCAGAUGUGCCCAGAUGGGAUUAGCUUGUUGGUGAGGUAACGGCUCACCAAGGCGACGAUCCCUAGCUGGUCUGAGAGGAUGACCAGCCACACUGGAACUGAGACACGGUCCAGACUCCUACGGGAGGCAGCAGUGGGGAAUAUUGCACAAUGGGCGCAAGCCUGAUGCAGCCAUGCCGCGUGUAUGAAGAAGGCCUUCGGGUUGUAAAGUACUUUCAGCGGGGAGGAAGGUGUUGUGGUUAAUAACCGCAGCAAUUGACGUUACCCGCAGAAGAAGCACCGGCUAACUCCGUGCCAGCAGCCGCGGUAAUACGGAGGGUGCAAGCGUUAAUCGGAAUUACUGGGCGUAAAGCGCACGCAGGCGGUCUGUCAAGUCGGAUGUGAAAUCCCCGGGCUCAACCUGGGAACUGCAUUCGAAACUGGCAGGCUUGAGUCUUGUAGAGGGGGGUAGAAUUCCAGGUGUAGCGGUGAAAUGCGUAGAGAUC
rnacentral:rRNA from 1 species